rnacentral:lncRNA from 1 species
GCCAUUUGUAAUUGCUCUAUUUAUUAAUACAUAUAUCACAAAUGUUCACAAUAUCAAUGCAUUCUUGUUGGCAUGCUAGACAGAGGCAUUAUUUUUAGGAUCUUUAAAAAAUAUUUUGACUUUCUUUUCCCCUCUACAUUCACUUUUAAAUUGAUCUGAUGAGGUCCUCCAAGUCUAUAACAUCAGUGCAAGGAAAAAAAUACAGGAAGAAAAAGAAAGUAAAAUAAUAGAAAUUAGUUGGGGCAAAUCAGAAGCAGUAUUUGUGCCUUCAGGGGGAGCAACAACAUAACCUUGUAACAGGAUUAUACAGGUUUCAUCUGAGAGGAAAUCCUAUACUAAGCUGUCUCUAUACACCCACGUGUGGAACAAUUAUGAGCAAGGAGGCCACCUAAUGCUUAACAACAGUUUCCACCAUGCAUGCCACAUGCUGUUUUCUCCUCACAAAUAACUCCUACUAUGUCUCUCCACAUGUCCUAGGCAGCCUAGAGAAGGUAGGAAAGAAUCCCAGGAAAGGGAAAACCAAAUCAAAUCAGAUUAAGCCAAAAAGAUAACUACCAUCUGCUUAUUUACGGAAAGGUGCGUGGCAUUCAUGGACCACAGCGAGGGGCUGACUAAAACCCCCCUACUACAUGCAGGGCCACAAGGGGCCAGUGAUGAUGUGAUAACCAGUCACCUACAGUUGGACCAAGUACAUGUGAGAGAGCUGGCACUCAAGGGGCCUUAGGGUGGGGUUCACUAUGACUAGCUGCAGGGGGCAUGGCUACACUGUGUGGCAUAACAGGGCUUCACAAGAUGGACACUACACAUGAUGUGGGCUGAAAGGCAGAGCAUAGACUGGAUAGGAGUGUCAGUUGCACACGGGGGUGGGCUUUGGGGAGUGGGUAGUGGGAGCAGGGCAGGGAUGUUAUGUACUGUGCUCUAACAUUCUUUGGAAGUCUUUCAGAGAUAGCGGCAGUUCCUUUUAAAAACAGGCCUCUUAUUCCAUAGUUCUUGAAAGACUGUGAGAAAGAGAAAGAGAAAAUAUGGGAGUUAUUCGUAUGCAAGGUGAAGGAAG